AGCAAGUCUUUUUGUGUAAUAUCACAACCAGCGAUGUUAUAUUACAUCAAGUAGUCAAUGUUUAUCCAAAUUGACAAUCGAUUUGCUGAACGUAUCAAAAAGUUGGUGGAGGUUUGCAAGGCUCAGGAACAUUUGUUUUUCUGGGCAAUUUUGACCAAGGACAUCGGCAAGAAUAAAAAAGAAAGAAAGAUUUGAAACUGUCCGGAGAAAAGGAAAGAGCUGUUACGGAUAGAAAACACGCACUGGCUGUUUCUUCCUAAGACUAAGGAAUCCCGAAUUUAAAAUAUUACUGAUACGGUGCCUUAGUGAAAUGGUUACAUUUUCGAUGAAAAAUUGUCAGCAAUGAAAGAAGUUUAAGUGCAAUGUUCCGACAGGAUUUCCAUAGUUCCACCUCAAUCGGUUCUGCUGGAUAUGUUUGGGAACCUGUUUUUUUAAAGAAUUAGUGAGAGAGUACUUCCUAUCCGGACGACCCAUAAAGGGCAGUUCUUACUUAGGACAAGAAUAUUAUGCAACAG